rnacentral:tRNA from 1 species
GGAGAUUUAGCUCAAUGGUAGAGCACUUGCCUAGCAAGCACAAGGCCCUGGGUUCAGUCCCCAGCUCCG